AUGCUCUACUUCACACAGUUGCCCUCUGGAAGGACUUGCAAAGGCAGUCACUUAAAUUAUGUACAGCACAGCAAGAGCAGACCUGCAAAAAAGAAUUCUGACCAGCUGAGCAUCGAGAACGCCUUCUGCAGAAGAAUUCUGCUCCCAAAUGCAAAUAAGAAAGAAGUUUGGGAAACUGCCAGCUCCUUGCACAAAGACUGA
rnacentral:lncRNA from 1 species